rnacentral:rRNA from 1 species
AUACGUAGGGGGCGAGCGUUGUCCGGAAUGAUUGGGCGUAAAGGGCGCGUAGGCGGCCUGUUAAGUCUGGAGUGAAAGUCCUGUUUUCAAGAUGGGAAUUGCUUUGGAUACUGAUGGGCUUGAGUGCAGGAGAGGUUAUCGGAAUUCCCGGUGUAGCGGUGAAAUGCGUAAAGAUCGGGAGGAACACCAGUGGCGAAGGCGGGUGACUGGACUGUAACUGAAGCUGAGGCGCGAAAGUGUGGGGCUCAAACGGGAUGAGAUAGCCUGGUAGUCCACACUGUAAACGAGGAAUGCUAGGUGUAGGGGGUAUCGACCCCUUCUGCGCCGCAGUCAACACAAUAAGCAUUCCGCCUGGGGACUACGGUCGCACGGUUGAUACUCAAAGGAAUUGACGGGA